UUGUCUCAAAGAUUAAGCCAUGCAUGUCUCAGUACAUACCGAAAUUAAGGUGAAACCGCGAAAGGCUCAUUAAAUCAGUUAUGGUUCCUUAGAUCGUACCACAUUUACUUGGAUAACUGUGGUAAUUCUAGAGCUAAUACAUGCAAACAGAGCUCUAACCGGAGACGGGAGGAGUGCUUUUAUUAGAUCAAAACCAAUUGUGUCAUCCCUAUGGCUCUAUAUGAUUCUGUAUCUUAGCGUACGUUCAUAUAUCCAGGGUGUAUGUUCACAUAAUAUAAUUGGUGAAUCUGAAUAACUUGCUGAUCGCAUGGUCUCGUACCGGCGACGCAUCUUUCAAAUGUCUGCCUUAUCAACUUUCGAUGGUAGGAUCUGCGCCUACCAUGGUUGUAACGGGUAACGGGGAAUCAGGGUUCGAUUCCGGAGAGGGAGCUUGAGAAACGGCUACCACAUCCAAGGAAGGCAGCAGGCGCGCAAAUUACCCACUCCCGGCACGGGGAGGUAGUGACGAAAAAUAACGAUACGGGACUCAUCCGAGGCCCCGUAAUCGGAAUGAGUACACUUUAAAUCCUUUAACAAGGAGCAACUGGAGGGCAAGUCUGGUGCCAGCAGCCGCGGUAAUUCCAGCUCCAGUAGCGUAUAUUAAAGUUGUUGCGGUUAAAAAGCUCGUAGUUGAAUUUGUGUCUUGCACUGUCGGUUCAUCGCUUGAAUGCGGUGUUUAACUGGCACGUUGUGAGACGUCUUGCCGGAAGGGCAUGGUAUGUAUAUUGUUUGUUUGUCUUAUGAUAUAUGUUAAUAAUUAUUAUAAUAUAUAAUAUGGUGUAAAAACCAUAAUUAUAUAUAUAUUUUUAUAUAUACAUUAUCAUAUUGUACACUUACUUUAUGCAUACGUAGUCCGACUUUUUUUAUAAAAAUCCUGUCUAGGUGCUCUUAAUUGAGUGUCGUGGCGGGCCGGCACGUUUACUUUGAACAAAUUAGAGUGCUUAAAGCAGGCUUAUGUUGCCUGAAUAUAGUGUGCAUGGAAUAAUGAAACAGGACCUCGGUUCUAUUUUGUUGGUUUUCUGAACUAACGAGGUAAUGAUUAAUAGGGACAGAUGGGGGCAUUCGUAUUGCGACGUUAGAGGUGAAAUCUUGGAUCGCGCAAGACGAACUUAAGCGAAAGCAUUUGCCAAAGAUGUUUUCAUUAAUCAAGAACGAAAGUCAGAGGUUCGAAGGCGAUCAGAUACCGCCCUAGUUCUGACUAUAAACGAUGCCAGCUAGCGAUCGGCCAAAGUUCCUCCGAUGACUUGGUCGGCAGCUUCCGGGAAACCAAAGCCUUUGGGUUCCGGGGGAAGUAUGGUUGCAAAGCUGAAACUUAAAGGAAUUGACGGAAGGGCACCACCAGGAGUGGAGCUUGCGGCUUAAUUUGACUCAACACGGGAAACCUCACCAGGCCCGGACACCGGAAGGAUUGACAGAUUGAGAGCUCUUUCUUGAUUCGGUGGGUGGUGGUGCAUGGCCGUUCUUAGUUGGUGGAGCGAUUUGUCUGGUUAAUUCCGAUAACGAGCGAGACUCUAGCCUGCUAAAUAGACGUAGAAAACUCGAUUUCACGAUCGGGUUACACCGGUAUUCCGAGGGUUGUCCUUCGACUACUGGCCAUUAUUUGUUCGCUUCAUAUAACUGAUGCAUUAAUAAUUAUUAGUUUUAUGAUAUAUUGCACAAAUUCUUGGGUGAUAUAUUGUAUACUAUUUUUAUUUUAUGUAUUCAAGUGUAUGCUUGCGUCAAUAAUGUAACUAGUUGUUUGUUGGCAAUCUUUACUACCGGCGUUUUAUUAAAUCUUCUUAGAGGGACAGGCGGCUUCUAGCCGCACGAGAUUGAGCAAUAACAGGUCUGUGAUGCCCUUAGAUGUUCUGGGCCGCACGCGCGCUACACUGAAGGAAUCAGCGUGUCUUCCACUGGCCGAGAGGUCCGGGUAAUCCGCUGAAACUCCUUCGUGCUAGGGAUUGGGGCUUGCAAUUAUUCCCCAUGAACGAGGAAUUCCCAGUAAGCGCGAGUCAUAAGCUCGCGUUGAUUACGUCCCUGCCCUUUGUACACACCGCCCGUCGCUACUACCGAUUGAAUGAUUUAGUGAGGUCUUCGGACCGGUACUCGGCCGACGUUUCGACGUCGCCGACGCUGCUGGGAAGAUGACCGAACUUGAUUAUUU
rnacentral:rRNA from 1 species